rnacentral:rRNA from 1 species
AUUGAACGCUGGCGGCAGGCUUAACACAUGCAAGUCGAGCGGUAGAGGGGAGCUUGCUUCCCUUGAGAGCGGCGGACGGGUGAGUAAUGCCUAGGAAUCUGCCUGGUAGUGGGGGACAACGUUCGGAAACGGACGCUAAUACCGCAUACGUACUACGGGAGAAAGUGGGGGAUCUUCGGACCUCACGCUAUCAGAUGAGCCUAGGUAGGAUUAGCUAGUUGGUAGGGUAAAGGCCUACCAAGGCGACGAUCCGUAACUGGUCUGAGAGGAUGAUCAGUCACACUGGAACUGAGACACGGUCCAGACUCCUACGGGAGGCAGCAGUGGGGAAUAUUGGACAAUGGGCGCAAGCCUGAUCCAGCCAUGCCGCGUGUGUGAAGAAGGUCUUCGGAUUGUAAAGCACUUUAAGUUGGGAGGAAGUUCAGUAAGUUAAUACCUUGUUGAAUUGACGUUACCGACAGAAUAAGCACCGGCUAACUCUGUGCCAGCCGCCGCAGUAAUAC